CGGUUAAAAAUUUCUUCGUGAGAUCCGAGACCUCAUGAGGGUUGUCGUCCAAUCAGAUCCAACAGUGUAAAAUAUGUUGGACCAAAAUCACGUGUCCUCGGCUGGGGUGAGAUCUCACUUGUUCAACGUGCCUUUUUCGUAUAAUGUUUGUUAUGGGCCUUUCACCGUGGGUGUUACGAAUGACCCUGAAUAGUUGUCCCCCAAAACCUUGUUCCUACUCGUAGAAUGAUGGCUUAUCAUGCAUGCCUUCAGUCCGACUUCUAGUAGAAGGAAAUGGAAUAGCUUGAAGGAAAAUCAAUAAAAUUGGAAACAUGUGCAUUAAAUAUCUCCCUCGUGUUUAACAAAUGUUUCGUAUGGGAGUCAUGACAUGUGACCAUAUGUCUAGUAGCAAUGUGGGUAUUAGAGUAUUCUCAACAGUUAGAGGCAAGAUCUUGAUCGUUGGUGGUGUGGUUCGCACUUCCCAACGUCUAUCCAUAUGGAUCAUACAAUCGUCUUUGUUGGAUGAUAUAUGAGAAGUCACACGGCUAGCGUCUCCCUUUUUCAUCACUCGUGAAUCUUGAGAGAUCUUCUUCUGUGUAUGAAAUUUCGUUCAUCUUCGUCAAUAUCCUCAUAUUGACCACCAUUUCGACGCAUUUGCACCACCUAUUCUGAAAAAGCACACAACGUGUGAGUCAUCAAAUUUAUCUUUUCAAGAUAAGAUGGAAUGUCACUAAAAGAUGCUUCAAACAAGAGGACUCCCAUGGUCAUCUAUUCACUUGUAUGGCCCAUCAAUAUCCCAACUACUAAAGGAGUCUAAUUACGGGAUCCUCUGUUGUUCUGUCCACACUCAACCUUUAUAUCCUAGUUCAAACAAAAGUCUUAAUUUCUCUUGAUCAAGUCGAGAUAGAGGGUGUUUUACGCUUGUCACCAUGCGUGGUUGGAAGGAUUCCUUCAUGAGUCAUGUUGUUGGAAUGCCUCUCUAGCAUGGACCAUCUGGAAGAAGGGAUAAGAUAGCUGAGCAAGGUUAGGGGAGGCUCGGUAUCAGGGUAGGUUCAACACCGAUCAACUCGUCUCCUACACUUCUGGUUUGUCCCGAUCCUUGAACGACUAAGGAUUUUUGGUCUUUUGUUUCUAAAGAAUAUUAUGCAUACUUAUCGAGAAAGACCGAUGGCAUGUGGCUCCUGCCUCUUCCUCGAGAACCAUCAAGUGGAGUUUGGUGCCUCGAGGCAGAUAUCGGUUGGCCAUCUAGGGCCCUCCUUGUGUGGUGAAACAAUGUUGACGAGGAUAAUUUUGGUUUUACUCUCUGCUCACCAUGUGAAACGUUCUCUCACACAAAACUAUUCUUGGAAAAAACGAAGUACAAGUUUUCUUCGAUCCGAAGUAUCCUUUUAGUAAGGAAGUACAAAUUUUGUUAAUGGCACUAGCUUAUUGACAUUGUACAUCAAAUCGUUUUUCCGUUGCGUGGUUAAACUAACUUGCAGUGGUUGGAGACCGUGGAGCAUUUCAUGUCUAGAAUUUAUGGGUUACGAUGAAGGUUGCUUCGAUGUUUGACCUUGAAGGGGUUGUAAAGUAGGUUGGAAGGUUGGAAGAAUGGGGAAGGUCCUUUAUCCAACUGUUGGAGGUGUUAGAGUUUGCGACGUUGGUACUGCAGGAGGAGUAACUAAGACCAGAGCAUCUUCGAUCAACAUAGGAAGUGAAGCCUCCAACGCUCGAGUAAAUGAAUGAGUGAUAAAGUAGUUGGAGUGUGUAAAUGAGAGAAUAAUUGAAAUGACAAGUGUUAUGCUUUAUAUAGUGUGUGCGAUUAAAACUGUCUUCGUGA